rnacentral:rRNA from 1 species
GAUGAACGCUGGCGGCGUGCCUAAUACAUGCAAGUCGAGCGAACAGAUGAGGAGCUUGCUCCUCUGACGUUAGCGGCGGACGGGUGAGUAACACGUGGAUAACCUACCUAUAAGACUGGGAUAACUUCGGGAAACCGGAGCUAAUACCGGAUAAUAUAUUGAACCGCAUGGUUCAAUAGUGAAAGACGGUUUUGCUGUCACUUAUAGAUGGAUCCGCGCCGCUUUAGCUAGUUGGUAAGGUAACGGCUUACCAAGGCUACGAUGCGUAGCCGACCUGAGAGGGUGAUCCGCCACACUGGGACUGAGACACGGCCCAGACUCCUACGGGAGGAAGCAGUAGGGAAUCUUCCGCGAUGGGCGAAAGCCUGAAGGAGCAACGCCGCGUGAGUGAUGAAGGUCUUCGGAUCGUAAAACUCUGUUAUUAGGGAAGAACAAAUGUGUAAGAAAAUAUGCACGUCUUGACGGUACCUAAUCAGAAAGCCACGGCUAACUACGUG